GCCGUCUACUCUUGGCCAGCCUUCUGAAAGGAAGAUUAAUCCAGGAUGGGAUCAUGAGUUCACAUGUCCGCAUGAUUAAAGGUAUUUUCCGGUAGACGAUGGGGAUGCGUUCCAUUAGAUAGUAGGCGGGGUAACGGCCCACCUAGUCAACGAUGGAUAGGGGUUCUGAGAGGAAGGUCCCCCACAUUGGAACUGAGACACGGUCCAAACUCCUACGAGAGGCAGCAGUGAGGAAUAUUGGUCAAUGGGCGAUGGCCUGAACCAGCCAAGUAGCGUGAAGGAUGACUGCCCUAUGGGUUGUAAACUUCUUUUAUAAAGGAAUAAAGUCGGGUAUGCAUACCCGUUUGCAUGUACUUUAUGAAUAAGGAUCGGCUAACUCCGUGCCAGCAGCCGCGGUAAUACGGAGGAUCCGAGCGUUAUCCGGAUUUAUUGGGUUUAAAGGGAGCGUAGAUGGAUGUUUAAGUCAGUUGUGAAAGUUUGCGGCUCAACCGUAAAAUUGCAGUUGAUACUGGAUGUCUUGAGUGCAGUUGAGGCAGGCGGAAUUCGUGGUGUAGCGGUGAAAUGCUUAGAUAUCACGAAGAACUCCGAUUGCGAAGGCAGCCUGCUAAGCUGCAACUGA
rnacentral:rRNA from 1 species